CACCGGCGGCCCGAGUGGUAACCGCUUUUAUUGGGUCUAAAGGGUCUGUAGCCGGCCAAGUAAGUCCCUUGGGAAAUCUGGCAGCUUAACUGUCAGGCUGCUAGGGGAUACUGCUAGGCUUGGGACCGGGAGAGGUGAGAGGUACCUUGGGGGUAGGGGUGAAAUCUUGUGAUCCUCGGGGGACCACCAGUGGCGAAGGCGUCUCACCAGAACGGGUCCGACGGUAAGGGACGAAAGCUAGGGGCACGAACCGGAUUAGAUACCCGGGUAGUCCUAGCCGUAAACGAUGCUCGCUAGGUGUCAGUCACGGUGCGACCGUGAUUGGUGCCGUAGGGAAGCCGUGAAGCGAGCCACCUGGGAAGUAUGGCCGCAAGGCUGAA
rnacentral:rRNA from 2 species